rnacentral:rRNA from 1 species
UACGUAGGGACCAAGCGUUGUCCGGAAUCAUUGGGCGUAAAGCGCGCGUAGGCGGUCCGGUAAGUCCGCUCUGAAAGUCCGGGGCUCAACCCCGGGAGGCGGGCGGAUACUGUCGGGCUAGAGUCCGGAAGAGGCGAGUGGAAUUCCUGGUGUAGCGGUGAAAUGCGCAGAUAUCAGGAGGAACACCAAUGGCGAAGGCAGCUCGCUGGGACGGUACUGACGCUGAGGCGCGAAAGCGUGGGGAGCAAACAGG